UUCAAGCCUAAUAUACUCAAAAACAAAUUUCCCAGUCUUCUCUUAAACACUAGACAGUAAAUAGUGCAUCAGAUUAUAGGGUAGUCUGCCCAUCAGCAUCUCAGCAAGUUAGACAAGGCUGAUCCUAAGACAGCUAUACCUCACCCCUCUACAGCCCUCCUCUCCAAUGUCAUCUUCGAGGAUUUGGGCCCUUAAAGCUCUUAAUAAGGUAGUUUGAACCAUGGACAUCUAUCACCUAGGAAUUUUGAAUAAUACUUUAUAAUGAACUCCUAUAACUAGCCAUUGUGUGGGUGGGCCCGUGGAGAUCUCUAAGCUGGUCCCAUGGUUUAAAAAUCACUUGGGAGAAUGGGCAGGUGCUUCAGGGCUAAGCAGGUGCCACUAGGGUCCCCAUCCCCCACCCACACCCCAGCCAGAACAGCUCCAAUUUUACCUGUUAUUGCUGUGGCUAUUGUUGUUUUUAAUUUGUCUGCACAUGUUUUGAGGAAAAGAAGCAAUUUGAUCCUUUGAUGAACUCCUAAUUUAGCCUA
rnacentral:lncRNA from 10 species